ensembl:lincRNA Gm38150 predicted gene, 38150
GCCUCUCUUAUGGGAGGGAGUCCUGCUGUUUGCACUCAACAGCGCCGCAGGAGUCCACUUUUAUUCUUAACAGUUUCAAUCUAACUUUGAGGGCUCCUCCCUCUGGCCUCCCUCUGAGGCUAUCUGGGCAUUUAGGUAGUUUCCAAUUCUCAGUGGAAAUUAACCCCCAGGACAUCCAUCAUUAAACAUGAAGGUUUUCCCCCACUUUCCUGAAAGUUACUGAGGACAAUUCUCAGAAGUGGAAAUCAUGGGGCCCAAAGAACUGAGAGUUCUCUUUGAAGCUAUCAUCAAAACUAUCUUCUAAAAGGCCUGUCCAGAGCCCAGCAGUACAACAUGGCCACCAUUAGCCAUCCCACUGUGGGGAAAAUGUGUGUGUGUGUGUGUGUGUGUGUGUGUGUGUGGUGUAGAAGCCAAAGGUCUUGCUGACCUGGCACUGGAACCCAAUAAAUAACCUAGACUCACUAA